CUCCUUCCGACAGUGCUGGAUCUGCCAGGGCUGGGAGAGUCUGGUGGCUGAGGCAACCUUUCGCGGGCUGCCUGGGCACAGGCUGAUUUGGAAGAUACUUUAUAUAAAGAGAUAAGGAUUCUCUUGAUGUGAAAUUGUUUUCCUUCCAAGCUCAUCUCAUCACCUUGAAAUAUAAAUAUCUCUGCUUGAGGGAGGUCAAGGCUUGUGGAAGAUCAUUUGGAUGUUAAAAAUUCAAAUAAGACACGCUGAGCCCCCAGUGGUCCCGUGAUGUUGUGAUGCUCAAGGGCAAGAUUACAUCAGCUGAAGACAUCCUGGUUCCUUGAGAACUGAGUAGUAAUAAAAAAAGAGAAAGGCUUCAUCUGGGGAGGGACAAAUUCCUUAUCAGCUUAACUCAUCCCACCUACUGCUGUAAGAAUAUUUGCUCAUCUUACCGUCCUCAUCAACAUGAGGUCCUCAUGGACCUAAGAUUCUCAUCAGCACAAGAUCCUCCUGGACAUAUGGUCACCACUGCCCUAUGGGUCAUCUGGUGCUCCCUCCGAUUAUUGUAUGAAUCCAAUAAAUAGUGGCCAGCUUGAGUGUCUGUCUUUGCCCACUCUGAGGCACUGACCUCCCAGCCCC
ensembl:lncRNA